CACUAUUAGAAAUAUAUUAGACUUAGGAUUAAUUACGCAAUUCGCAAGACAUGGCAGUUCUCCAAGUUCCUGCACCGGCUGAAGAGGAAGCAGAAUCACUUUUACAAUCCAUUUAUUAAGAUCUAUUGAUGGAAUUGGAGCACAUGCUGUACCAGGCGGAGGAGCAGGAUGAUAGGCAGAUUUGUAUUGCAAAUUUACAAAAAAUCAGGAAGAGCACAUUACCCUCGCCCCAGCCUCACCCGAUUUCGAAAUGGAAGAAGACACCGAGGAAGAAAAUACUUCCGAUGCAAAUGAAAAUGAUGCCACAUUGGAAAAUGAUGCCGCAGAUAACAACGAUCAAAAUUCGGAUUCAGGGACUCCCAAAUACAACUAAUCAAUAAUUUCAAUGUGCUUUUUUAUUUGUCCAAAUAUAUUUAGCACCAUUUGUAUUUUUCACACUAUGCAUCCAUUUCCAAAC